rnacentral:rRNA from 1 species
GGGCUUCGGCCCUAUCGAGAUAGAACCCUUGCCUUUUUUGAGUACCAUCUGUUUCCUCGGCAGGCUCGCCUGCCAAUGGGGACCCUAAAUAAACCUUUGUAACAACCUGUAAAUUGUCUGAUUAAACAAACAAAAAUCAAAACUUUCAACAACGGAUCUCUUGGUUCUGGCAUCGAUGAAGAACGCAGCGAAAUGCGAUAAGUAGUGUGAAUUGCAGAAUUCAGUGAAUCAUCGAAUCUUUGAACGCACAUUGCGCCCUAUGGUAUUCCGUAGGGCAUGCCUGUUCGAGCGUCAUUCAAAACUUCAAGCUCUGCUUGGUGAUGGGUGCCUGUCUUGCUUUAUAGCGUGGACUCACCUCAAAUACAUUGGCGGCCGGCACGUUGGCUUCGAGCGCAGCAGAAACGCGAACUCGUCCCCAGUGGAUCGGCUCCCAGAAGCUAAAAACCCAUGAAUUUGACCUCGGAUCAGGUAGGGAUACCCGCUGAACUUAAGCAUAUCAAUAAGCGGAGGAA